UACGAAGGGGGCUAGCGUUGCUCGGAAUCACUGGGCGUAAAGGGUGCGUAGGCGGGUUUUUAAGUCAGGGGUGAAACCCUGGAGCUCAACUCCAGAACUGCCUUUGAUACUGAAGAUCUUGAGUUCGGGAGAGGUGAGUGGAACUGCGAGUGUAGAGGUGAAAUUCGUAGAUAUUCGCAAGAACACCAGUGGCGAAGGCGGCUCACUGGCCCGAUACUGACGCUGAGGCACGAAAGCGUGGGGAGCAAACAGG
rnacentral:rRNA from 1 species